rnacentral:rRNA from 1 species
AACGAACGCUGGCGGCAUGCCUAACACAUGCAAGUCGAGCGGACCGUCCGGUUCGGUGGUCCACGGGCGGCGAACGGGUGGGGAACAGGCCCUCAGUUUGGAACUAUCUCCCGGAAAGGGAUUCGAAACCGGGGCAAGUCCUGGGAACAAAGAUUUUAUGCCUUUGGGUUGGUCCGCGUUUGAUUUGCUUGUUGGUAGGGUAAAAGCCUAUCAAAGUGACGAUGCAUUACUGGUCUGAGAGGAUGAUCCGCCACAACGGGGCUGAGACACGGACCAGACCCCUACGGGAGGGAGCAGUGGGGAAUAUUGGACACUGGGCGAAGGCCUGAUCCAGCCAUGCCGCGUGAGUGAUGAAGGCCUUAGGGUUGUAAAGCUCUUUUACCCGGGAUGAUAAUGACAGUACCGGGAGAAUAAGCUCCGGCUAACUACGUG